AUCCAGCUGCUGAGUUGCAAACAAAAUGAAACGCGCGUCUUUGAU
rnacentral:hammerhead_ribozyme from 1 species